AGAUCUAUGCCUCUACACAGACAUCAAGUUACCAUUUGUUCAAGCACUUAUGCACUUAGAUAGUUUGGAAUGCAAAACUCAGUAGCAUGAAGUUGAUGAUGAUAAGAGAUAUGAUGCAAGACAGAAACUUUCAACCAUCUUCGAAGCUGUUUUAUCCACUGAGAACCCCAACUUGUGUCUGACCCCGACUCAAAUUUAGAAAAAAAAACCAACAAAUCGAGUAAGUCACCUCCGAUCUCAGAUUUCUCUUCUUCUGUUGACUGUUGCUAGAAAACAACUCAUCUCCACACUUAGAACCUUCGUCACUUUCUUCCCGUAACAUCUGAAAUCUGAGCUACGAAGCUCCCACCGAACCGUUCUGAAUUUUCUGUAUCUUCUUCUUCACCGAGGAAAACCAGAAAAGAAAGAACUUUACUUUGACUUGGGCUAGGACAUAUCUUGGCCCAACUUGUUGCUUCUGAAACUUCAGGCCCAAAUAAACAAUACAACCCAUCUGGAACUGAAACCCAAAACCUUCUCUGCUGCCUUUGUCGAUGAUGACCACGGCUUCACCUUCCUCGACCACCAUUACCGUUAUACAUUCCGGUGAACCUGACAACUGUCUCAGCACUUGAAUCUUGCCACUUGAGAAACCUCAGCAAGACGUCAACCUCCUUCGUCUUUCACCCAACAGUGAAGACAAUACGUAGACGUACUUCUGGUGAGAUUCUCUGCAACUUCCGGCAAGUACUUUGUCGUCGAGUCUGUGUCAUCUGAGUCAACCUGAGAUAGCCACUGAUGCUGCAACAUCUCCACCUCUGACUCAUCUUUCCCACUUGUGAAAUCCACAGAGAGUUUAUCCUUUCAAAUGAUUUCACCAUCUCCGACGAGAACCACUUCGCUUCCGCCUUCUGGUCUCAAAAGCUUCUCAAAGCCAUACUCUUCCAGAGAUAUCUUGAGGUAAAGCUUUCACCUUCUUACAAAGCUUACAACUUUCUCACAAAUCUCUGCUGCAUCUUCCGAAAGCUUCCACCUUUACAUAAAGCUUGAACCUUUACGACCAAACUUGACUUCUUUCUUUGCCAACCUGGCUCUGAUACCAAUCUGUUGAGAUCUAUGCCUCUACACAGACAUCAAGUUACCAUUUGUUCAAGCACUUAUGCACUUAGAUAGUUUGGAAUGCAAAACUCAGUAGCAUGAAGUUGAUGAUGA